UACGGAGGGGGCUAGCGUUGUUCGGAAUUACUGGGCGUAAAGCGCACGUAGGCGGCUUUGUAAGUUAGAGGUGAAAGCCCGGGGCUCAACUCCGGAAUUGCCUUUAAGACUGCAUCGCUAGAAUUGUGGAGAGGUAAGUGGAAUUCCGAGUGUAGAGGUGAAAUUCGUAGAUAUCGGGAGGAACACCAGUGGCGAAGGCGGCGAUCUGGGCAGACACUGACGCUGAGGUGCGAAAGCGUGGGGAGCAAACAGG
rnacentral:rRNA from 1 species